rnacentral:rRNA from 1 species
AGUUCCUGAAACCGUGUGCCUACAAGUAGUUAGAGCCCGUUAAUGGGUGAUAGCGUGCCUUUUGUAGAAUGAACCGGCGAGUUACGAUUUGUUGCAAGGUUAAGCGGAAAAAGCGGAGCCGUAGCGAAAGCGAGUCUGAAUAGGGCGCAUAAGUAACAGGUCGUAGACCCGAAACCAGGUGAUCUACCCAUGUCCAGGAUGAAGGUAAGGUAAUACUUACUGGAGGUCCGAACCCACGCACGUUGAAAAGUGCGGGGAUGAGGUGUGGGUAGCGGAGAAAUUCCAAUCGAACUUGGAGAUAGCUGGUUCUCUCCGAAAUAGCUUUAGGGCUAGCCUCGAGGUAAAGAGUCAUGGAGGUAGAGCACUGUUUGGACUAGGGGCCCUUCUCGGGUUACCGAAUUCAGAUAAACUCCGAAUGCCAUGUACUUAUACUCGGGAGUCAGACUGCGAGUGAUAAGAUCCGUAGUCGAAAGGGAAACAGCCCAGACCACCAGUUAAGGUCCCCAAAUAUAUGUUAAGUGGAAAAGGAUGUGGGGUUGCUUAGACAACCAGGAUGUUGGCUUAGAAGCAGCCACCAUUGAAAGAGUGCGUAAUAGCUCACUGGUCGAGUGACCCCGCGCCGAAAAUGUACCGGGGCUAAACAU